AUGUAUAGUUCUCUAAAUGAACGACUAAAGAAUAUUUUGUUUGCUGCUAUUGCUCCCAGUUAUUACUAAUUUGGUCUGGAAUGAAGAGAACAAUGGGGAAGGAGUAAUUGGUAUAUUGGGGUUUCAGUGUGUAUUGCUAAAGCUAUUCUGUUGGGGGAACUGACCGGAAUUAGUGAAAAGUUUUGUCAGGUAAUAUUCAUUUUUCUACUUUCUAGAUUAUAUUUCACCAAUAUGUUCCCCUGCUUUAUUUGGACAUCCAAACAUUCUGCAAAUUCUAAUGUAACACAGUAUUGGGCAGCUAUGUAAUGAAUAAGUCGCAGUAUUAUUAUUCUAAUGUUCCCAUGCUAGCCUUAUUAUUUGCAUCUAUGUAAUGAAUAAGUCGCAGUAUUUAUUUAUCUCAAGGGAAAAUGGCAUUGCAAAGAUUUUUGCUACCUUCUCUCUUGAUAUCAGAAGUACCAUGUAGUAUUGGGCAGCUUCAAAGCUACAAAGUUGUAGUAUAUUUGUGCUACAGAAUAUCGAAAGCCAUACAGUUUUGGUCUGGGUAGUCUCAUAAAGAGAUCCAUUUACGUGUUCAAUGCCUAACACAUUCCGUCUUGUUUGAAUGUUUGCACUAUUCUUAUAACCCAAUGGAAGUUGCAUUUUUCCCAUCAUGUCAGCUAGAAGGGAAAAUUUAUUUGUAGUUUGAAGUUCCACAACAAAAAUGUAUAUAUGCAUGCACAUUCUUCCACCAAGAGAAGAAAAAACUCAGCAUCCAUCUUUCGUACAUGAGUUGAAUGUCUUAUACUGAAACUGAUCACGGUGUCGCAAGUAAAGCCUAAAUUUCAUAAAUUUCAUAAAAGUGUCGCAAGUAAAGAGCUUUUAGUUGAAGUUCACUAAAUUUCUUAUACCGACAUUUCAGGGAUAAUAGGACUGACCCAACUGUUACCGGUGCCAUGCUUUUGGGGUCGACCAAAACAUUUAAAAACGUUAAAUGUGGUUAUGUGAUAAUAACAUAUAAUGUAUUAUUUGUGUUCAUUCCUUUAAUGUGGAUUAUAACAUGAUCUACCUUUGCAUCAACAUCGAGGACUACUUUUGGUUCAUAUUCAUGUAGCCACUUCUCGAUUUUGAGAUUUUUCACAUGUACUCAACUUGUCUUAGUCAGCCCAACUCAGCUGUAUGCAUGACAUUUAUAAAGUGACUCCGUAAAAUUCAUAAAAGACACUAUUCGUUUAUUCUGUUCUUCUGUUUCUUCCAGAUUUUUCUCUCCUCGCUUAUAAUUCGAUACUGUUGAUUCGAUUAGAUGACUCGGUCGAUGAUGUUGGGCAUGUCCAUGGUAUCCAUUAAAAACCUUAAAAAAAGUCUUGCACGGGAAUAAAAUUAGAUAGCACACCACUUAUGAGUCGAAACAUAUGCCAGCCAAGAUGGUACCAUAAAACUAGUAGAUUAGGUCCAUUCCAGCCGCUAAUUCUUUGUGCCAAUGCUAAGUAUGUGAAGUUGCACUGACUUUUAGUUACAUCUGAUGAUCUUUCCACAAAAAAUGUAGUAUAGAGUGUAAUAUUUACAGUGUGGGGAUGUUGGUGGCCAAGAAAGUUUAUGCCCUUGUGGAGACAUUACUGUGAAGUCCUAAGUUAUCCUGUAAAAAGGAUUCUUAUGAUAAGCAUGUAAAGCAACUUCUGAACUUUUUUGUAGAUAUUUAAGUGCCAAUACCAUCUUUUGGUAUAACACAGAAAAAUCAAGUUUUGAGGCCAGAGAUUUACCUUGCUUUUGCAUGUGCAUUACUUUAGCUAAUCAACCUGCUGUCGAGCUUUUAGUUGAAGUUCACUAAAUUUCUUAUACCGACAUUUCAGGGAUAAUACGACUGACCCAACUGUUACCGGUGCCAUGCUUUUGGGGUCGACCAAAACAUUUAAAAACGUUAAAUGUGGUUAUGUGAUAAUAACAUAUAAUGUAUUAUUUGUGUUCAUUCCUUUAAUGUGGAUUAUAACAUGAUCUACCUUUGCUUCAACAUCGAGGACUACUUUUGGUUCAUAUUCAUGCAGCCACUUCUCGAUUUUGAGAUUUUUCACAUGUAUUGAACUUGUCUUAGUCAGCCCAACUCAGCUGUAUGCGUGACAUUUAUAAAGUGACUCCGUAAAAUUCAUAAAAGAGACUAUUCUUUUAUUCUGUUCUUCUAUUUCUUCUAGAUUUUGCUCUCCUCGCUUAUAAUUCGAUACUGUUGAUUCGAUUAGAUGACUCGGUCGAUGAUGUUGGGCAUGUCCAUGGUAUCCAUUAAAAAAUUUAAAAAAAGUCUUGCACCGGAAUAAUAGCACACCACUUAUGAGUCGAAACAUAUGCCAGCCAAGCCGGUACCAUAAAAUUAGUAGAUUAGGUCCAUUCCAGCUGCUAAUUCUUUGUGCCAAUGCUAAGUAUGUGAAGUUGCAUUGACUUUUAGUUACAUCUGAUGAUCUUUCCACAAAAAAUGUAGUAUAGAGUAAAAAUGUAGUAUAGAGUGUAAUAUUUACAGUGUGGGGAUGUUGGUGGCAAAGAAAGUUUAUGCCCUUGUGGAGACAUUACUGUGAAGUCCUAAGUUAUCCUGUAAAAAGGAUUCUUAUGAUAAGUUAUUCUGUAAAAAGGAUUCUUAUGAUAAGCAUGUAAAGCAACUUCUGAACUUUUUUGUAGAUAUUUAAGUGCCAAUACCAUCUUUUGGUAUAACGCAGAAAAAUCAAGUUUUGAGG
rnacentral:lncRNA from 1 species